CACAUUCUGAAAAGAUGCUGAAAAAAAGAAAUGCAGGAUUCUUGCUCUAUGUCGGGUCCACCCUUUCUCUGGCUGUGGUGCCUCCAUUGUCCUAACACUCUUCAGCAACCUGUCAAGAUCUUUAUAUGGUGGCCACCAGGAGUAGCCAUCUGCAUACCAGGACUUGGCAGCUGGUCCAGUCGUCCCUUCUCGCUCAAACUCCACGAUUAGAAAUCAACUGUUGUUGAGAGGUCAUCCACUAAAUGAAUGCCAAGUGUAGAGAAUGGCAGUGGAUAGUCAAAAAAGGAUUCCUGGUGUUUGAAGGUACUGUAAGCUACAUAAAUUUAAUCCCUUAAUGAAAUGAUGUUUUGCAGCUUAGCAACU